rnacentral:antisense_RNA from 1 species
GCCCAGGCUGGAGUGCAGUGGCAUGAUUUCGGCUCACUGCAAGCUCCGCCUCCCGGGUUCAAAUGAUUCUCCUGCCUUAGCCUCCCAAGUAGCUGGGACUACAGGGGCGUGCCACCAGGCCUGGCUAAUUUUUUGUAUUUUUAGUAGAGAGGGGGUUUCACCAUGUUAGCCAGGAUGGUCUCGAUCUCCUGACCUUGUGAUCCACCUGCCUUGGCCUCCCAGAGUGCUGGGAUUACAGGCGUAAGCCACCGUGCCUGGCCGAUGCCACCUCUUCUUGAAAGCCUUCUCAAUUCCUCAAAAUACAUAAACCAAGGAUCCCUUUGUGUUCCUCUAUUUCUAGCCUCGUCCUUGUUUCCUUGGACUGUCAUUGUUUAUGGGGAUACCUCCUCCACUCACCUGAGUCCUGCAAGCAUAGUGAGUGGCUGAAUCCAAGCAACCUUUGGUCACCUUUGUGUUCUGGGCCUUUAGAGUGCCUGAUGCAUGGAGAACAGCCAUUUAUUCCUUUUUCUUUUCCUUAGGAGUUACCUUUCAUGGAAGGGUAAGCAGGAAGCAACUACAAGAUCAUCAUUUCAAAACAAUAUGAAAGCAGAAUGGGAAAUGCCACGGCAUGCUCCCUCUUUUCAGGCAAUAUGGACACUUUGGGGAAGUUAUGAAGCGUCUCCCAUUCCCGCUUGAGGUACUCAAUAGAGCCCACAAACACAAUGUGCUUGAGCUCAUGGUAAUGAAAGUUGCUGGCACGGAGCGGCAUCACCAGGUUCCGGAGGCCGAUCAGGGCUGAGCUGACAUCGCCAAAGAUGCAGACCACGACAUGGCCACUCAGGACGGUCAUGGCAGCUUCACUUCGAGUCUACAACAGGGAGAAGUGGGU